rnacentral:misc_RNA from 1 species
GAUGAAGAACGUAGCGAAAUGCGAUAAGUAAUGUGAAUUGCAGAAUUCAGUGAAUCAUCAAAUCUUUGAACGCACAUUGCGCCCCUUGGUAUUCCGAGGGGCAUGCCUGUUCGAGCGUCAUUAUAACCCCUCAAGCUCAGCUUGGUGUUGGGGCCUGCUGCACUGGCAGCCCUUAAAAUCAGUGGCGGCGCCAUCUGGCUCUAAGCGUAGUAAUUCUUCUCGCUAUGGAGUCCUGGUGGAUGCUUGCCAUCAACCCCCAAUUUUUCUAUGGUUGACCUCGGAUCAGGUAGGGAUACCCGCUGAACUUAAGCAUAUCAAUAAGCGGAGGA